GUUGCAGAAUACGUGACAUGCAUCAUAAACAAGGCAGCCGACACUCUGAGACAGGAGUUGCCUAGCAACACAACAUCCGUAACAGUGAAGCCAGCAGACGACAACAUAUCAUUGUCCUCUAGUAUCAUCAGCCAAAUUGCUGACAUGGCUGUAACUGAGAGCUUGUCAAAUAUUGUGAUGGAUGCCGACAUCAACCAGUCUGCUAUUAGAGCUCACAGAACUGUCAAAGAAUUCAAGGAAGCAUUUGGCAUAACCGGAUAUGACUUCAUUGAUGACGGUCUUCCACCUGUAAGCGUGUAAGAGUGCAAGAAGAAGAAAGAAACAACGUGUGUGUGUUUUUGUUUGUUUGUUUUGUUGUUAUUUGUUGUUGUUGUUCGUUGCUGUUUUGUUUUGUUAAUUUGUAUGUGCUUUUUUUCUUUUUCUUUUUUGCUUUGCUUGUUUGUUUUACGUUUGUUUUUCAUGUUCUGCUUAGGCAUCGAUUUUAUUUUUAACAUGUUCUAUUGUCAUAAAAAUGUUUCUGA